AGAGUUUGAUCCUGGCUCAGAAUCAACGCUGGCGGCGUGCCUAACACAUGCAAGUCGAACGAGAAAGGGGAGCAAUCCCUGAGUACAGUGGCGACCGGGUGAGUAACACGUGACUAACCUACCCUCGAGUGGGGAAUAACUCCGGGAAACCGGAGCUAAUACCGCAUAAUAUCGCGAGAUCAAAGCAGCAAUGCGCUUGAGGAGGGGGUCGCGGCUGAUUAGCUAGUUGGCGGGGUAAUGGCCCACCAAGGCGAAGAUCGGUAUCCGGCCUGAGAGGGCGCACGGACACACUGGAACUGAAACACGGUCCAGACUCCUACGGGAGGCAGCAGUGGGGAAUUUUGCGCAAUGGGGGAAACCCUGACGCAGCAACGCCGCGUGGAGGAUGAAGUCCCUUGGGACGUAAACUCCUUCGACCGG
rnacentral:rRNA from 1 species